ACGCUCGACACCUACGGGAGGCUGCAGUGGGGAAUAUUGCACAAUGGGGGAAACCCUGAUGCAGCAACGCCGCGUGAAGGAAGACGGUUUUCGGAUUGUAAACUUCUGUUCUUAGUGAAGAUAGUGACGGUAGCUAAGGAGCAAGCCACGGCUAACUACGUGCCAGCAGCCGCGGUAAUCUGAGCGGGCUGGCAAGGC
rnacentral:rRNA from 1 species